GAUGAACGCUGGCGGCGUGCCUAAUACAUGCAAGUCGGGCGAACAGACGAGGAGCUUGCUCCUCUGACGUUAGCGGCGGACGGGUGAGUAACACGUGGAUAACCUACCUAUAAGACUGGGAUAACUUCGGGAAACCGGAGCUAAUACCGUAUAACAUGUUGAACCGCAUGGUUCAACAGUGAAAGACGGUCUUGCUGUCACUUAUAGAUGGAUCCGCGCCGCAUUAGCUAGUUGGUAAGGUAACGGCUUACCAAGGCAACGAUGCGUAGCCGACCUGAGAGGGUGAUCGGCCACACUGGAACUGAGACACGGUCCAGACUCCUACGGGAGGCAGCAGUAGGGAAUCUUCCGCAAUGGGCGAAAGCAUGACGGAGCAACGCCGCGUGAGUGAAGAAGGUCUUCGGAUCGUAAAACUCUGUUAUUAGGGAAGAAAAAAUGUGUAAGUAACUAUGCACGUCUUGACGGUACCUAAUCAGAAAGCCACGGCUAACUACGUG
rnacentral:rRNA from 1 species